ACCUUGGGGAGGGGCCAGCUGCUGUGUUCCGUCCACCAAUGCAAACACUAAGCUCUUCCAGAAACGCCCUCACAGACACCCCGGAAGUCACGUACCCGCUCUCUAGGUGCCCUGGGGCCCAGGCAGGCUGACAAGCCAGUUAUCCCCCAGAGCUCCUGCUGCCUCGCCUGCUUUCUCUCGGAAACGGGAAGUGUGGCCUCAGCUGAAAGUGAGGUGGGCCUCAUCCAAUCAGUUGAAUUCUUCAAGAGAGAAAAACUGAAGUUCCUUAGAAGGAAAGAGUUCUGCCUUCAGACUGUCUUUGAACUUAAGACUGUAACAUCGACUCCUGCCGGAAUUUCCAGCCUGCUGGCCUGCUCUGCAGAUUCACACUUGCCAGCCUCCACAAUCGCAGUUGAGGUGGGGGAACCCUAAGGGCUCAUUGAGAUCAUGGAUUUGCCCUUCUAUGCAUUGAUGGAGCACCUGCUGCCCACAACGUCUGUAUUUGGUGCUGGGAUGCUGAGGACGCUGAGAUCUUCAAACAGUGGCUGCCCCUCUGAGCAAACAGAUCCCGAGUCCUGGACUCUGAAGCUUGGGCCCAGUUCUCCUUUUCUCUGGGUUUCAGAUCCCAUUGUGAAGUGAGGGGGCCCUUCUGAUUCAGGACCCGGGGAAGACAGGGGCACGAGCAUCAGUGCCUCUUCUCUAUUUCAAGGACCCUUCUGGGUGUAAAGUUCUCUGAGAUGCCUUACAUGGAUUCCAACCACUGCUAGAUAACCAUCGUAUGUAAAGUGUUAUGACCAGCAGAGCAUAAUUGAAGUGCAUUCCAGAGGGAAAGACAGCGGCUCAGUAAAUCAAAGGUUUCGCCAUCAUGUAAACCCUUGGGCGACAGUCUCCCUGUCUCCCCCUGAUAUUGUUCUGUGAGAUUUCGAUGCUAUCUUGGUUGCCAGCAGCCCUGACAAAGAUGCAUUGCAGAUGGAUAGCCUCCCAGGAACAUGCUUACCUCAGAGUCUGCUGCAGACUGAAUUGUCUUCUCCAGAAUCCAUCUGUGGAGGCCCUCAUCCCCAGUGGGAUAGUAUUUGGAGAUGAAGUAUUUGAAGGUGAUUAAGCUUAGACAAGCUCAGAGUGGAGCCUCAGGAUGGCAUCGAUGCCCUGGUAAGGAGGGACACUGAGACCUGGCCCUCCCUUGCUCUCCACCGUGUGAGGACACAGGAGAUGGUGGCCACCUACAGGCCAGGAACUGAACGCUAUGGGGCCUUGACAUUGGCUGUUCCAGCCUCCAGAAUGGCUAGGAAUAAAUGUCUGCUCUUUAAGUCCCUGGUCGGUGGAGCUUUGUUAUGGCAGCACCAGGGGCUGGUUGAGAGCCUUUGCAUGGCUCUUCUUCCACCUGGAAUGAGAUUUCUAACUCUUGGCUUCCUCACCCCCUUACCUCAUUGUAUCAUGUUGCAACCACCCACCCACUCCCCAUGUCUCUGGCAUUCUCAUUUGUUUUUUCUUUGAUUUCAUAGAACACAUCACAAAGCCAUUUUCUCAUGCAUGAUGUUUAUUGUCUAUUUUCUAUCUCCCUGCUAGAGGGUAAGAUGCUGAAGAACACUGCUCUAUCUGCCUCCCAGGACCCAGAAAAUGCUUGGCGUGUGGUAGAACUUAGAUAUAUUUGUGUUGAAUAAAUUAAUUGAAGGG
rnacentral:lncRNA from 1 species